ACCUUUAGAUCAUGCACACCCAGAGUACCGUAGCAAUAAGGCGUUUAAACCUAUUUCCACGCAACCUUUCCAUGCCCAUUCUUCGUCUCAUCUACCCCAUGCCAAAAAAAGAGUCUGCAAAUCUUAUUGAUGCACUUGAUCACCCAUGGUGGAAGGUCCAUUGAUAGCAUAUGAUACACUGAAAUGGCUGUCAACACUGCCUUGAUCAACACUAACCUUCCACUUUGUGUGCGCAGUAAGGAUCUCCACAUUCUUUGUCUCAUCUGCACCUGCAGUACUUCGCAGCGGAAGAAACUGUGAAAUCAUACAUGGGGAGAUGGCCAGCGUGAAGAUACCAUAAGGCUUGUCGUAUUCCUCUCUAUCACCAAUUCAGGCUGUCAACGUCUAAUCCAAUGGGCAUAGUAUUCAGCGAAGUGAUAGAUUGUGUUCACUGCAGUACGAGCCGGCUUACCGCGCGCCACUCGGUCCAGGACGACAUACUUUCUCUUGGGAGCAUGUGUGCAAUUAUAUGGAUCUGCAGCUUCUCACGUUUUAUACCUUCUGAA